UACAGAGGGUGCAAGCGUUGUUCGGAAUUAUUGGGCGUAAAGGGCGCGUAGGCGGUGCGGUAAGUCACCUGUGAAACCUCUGGGCUUAACUCAGGGCCUGCAGGCGAAACUGCCGUGCUUGAGUGUGGGAGAGGUGCGUGGAAUUCCCGGUGUAGCGGCGAAAUGCGUAGAUAUCGGGAGGAACACCUGUGGCGAAAGCGGCGCACUGGACCACAACUGACGCUGAGGCGCGAAAGCUAGGGGAGCAAACAGG
rnacentral:rRNA from 1 species